UAGGGAAUCUUCGGCAAUGGACGAAAGUCUGACCGAGCAACGCCGCGUGAGUGAAGAAGGUUUUCGGAUCGUAAAACUCUGUUGUUAGAGAAGAACAAGGACGUUAGUAACUGAACGUCCCCUGACGGUAUCUAACCAGAAAGCCACGGCUAACUACGUGCCAGCAGCCGCGGUAAUACGUAGGUGGCAAGCGUUGUCCGGAUUUAUUGGGCGUAAAGCGAGCGCAGGCGGUUUCUUAAGUCUGAUGUGAAAGCCCCCGGCUCAACCGGGGAGGGUCAUUGGAAACUGGGAGACGUGAGUGCAGAAGAGGAGAGUGGAAUUCCAUGUGUAGCGGUGAAAUGCGUAGAUAUAUGGAGGAACACCAGUGGCGAAGGCGGCUAUCUGGUCUGUAACUGACGCUGAGGCUCGAAAGCGUGGGGAGCAAACAGG
rnacentral:rRNA from 1 species